AGUGAACGCUGGCGGUAGGCCUAACACAUGCAAGUCGAACGGCAGCACAGUAAGAGCUUGCUCUUACGGGUGGCGAGUGGCGGACGGGUGAGGAAUACAUCGGAAUCUACUUUUUCGUGGGGGAUAACGUAGGGAAACUUACGCUAAUACCGCAUACGACCUACGGGAGAAAGCAGGGGAUCUUCGGACCUUGCGCGAUUGAAUGAGCCGAUGUCGGAUUAGCUAGUUGGCGGGGUAAGGGCCCACCAAGGCGACGAUCCGUAGCUGGUCUGAGAGGAUGAUCAGCCACACUGGAACUGAGACACGGUCCAGACUCCUACGGGAGGCAGCAGUGGGGAAUAUUGGACAAUGGGCGCAAGCCUGAUCCAGCCAUACCGCGUGGGUGAAGAAGGCCUUCGGGUUGUAAAGCCCUUUUGUUGGGAAAGAAAAGCAGCAGGUUAAUACCCCGCUGUUCUGACGGUACCCAAAGAAUAAGCACCGGCUAACUUCGUG
rnacentral:rRNA from 1 species